AUAGAUUCUAGCCUGUGCCUUGGCAGCUUCCAUCCUCCGAAGGCAUCUCAUGGUCUGGAAGGUGUUUGCCCCAAAGUUCAUUUUUGAAGCCACUGGUUUCAUUGUGAGCAGUGUGGGACUUCUCCUGGGCAUAGCUUUGGUGAUGCGAGUGGAUGGCGCCAUGAGCUCCUGGUUCAGACGAUUAGUUCUGGUUCAGCAGAGGUAGCCCAGGCCUUGCGUGUUGGCAGCUGGCCAUGGAGAGGGCUGAAGAAUCAUCUGGCCUGACCUGCACUGGUGCUGGAUAUUCUGCAGGAGAGACUCAGACACACCUCCUAACCAUCAUGUAACCAGAGACUGCUUACCCUGGGACUUCAUUCUAUAAUUCAGAAUCACUGUGGAGCCUGAGCCCUCGCUCCUUGUUUGGAUGCACCUGAUGGACGAUUCCCCCAAGUGGAAUCAAAUAGCAGUGUAAAUGUGUGUAUCUAAGAUGUGGAAGAGCUCGCCAAGUCAGCCUCCUCCCACCAAGCACGAUUAGUUAUGUCAUCUUAGGUGGGGUUUGCUGUACCCGAGAACUCUUUGUGAGAAACUGUCUGGGUUCUUCCCAAAUGUUCUAGUCAUCCCAUUUGUCCUGCGUCCUCCUUGUUUGUUUGGUUUUGGUCAUUCUGUGCUUUACCUGAUAGCAGAGAAGACAAGCCCAGCAUCGUGAAACACACAGACGUCUGUGUCUGAAGCCUUAAGCAGCACUGUUUCUUCCUCUGGUUCCUUUCCCUCCCACGGCCGUAGAAAGCCUCUCUCUAGUUUUUAGCCCAUGUCACCUUUAUCACAUCUACCUGCCUAUUGAUUAUUCCCAACUUAAAGCCAAAAUGAAAUGAAUGUAAUGCAUCUUUUUAAAACAAUCUCACUAUGUAUCUGCAGCUUGUAACUCAAUGUGGAGUAGGCUAGCCUUGAAGUCAGAGAGAUCCACCUGCCUCUGCCUGCCAGAAUAAAGGCGUGUGUCAGCACGCCUGCCUAAUGA